rnacentral:rRNA from 1 species
GUAGGGUGCGAGCGUUAAUCGGAAUUACUGGGCGUAAAGCGUGCGCAGGCGGUUCUGAAAGUCAGCUGUGAAAGCCCCGGGCUUAACCUGGGAAUUGCGGUUGAAACUACAGGGCUAGAAUCUGGCAGAGGGGGGUGGAAUUCCACGUGUAGCAGUGAAAUGCGUAGAGAUGUGGAGGAACACCGAUGGCGAAGGCAGCCCCCUGGGCUGAGAUUGACGCUCAGGCACGAAAGCGUGGGGAGCAAACAGGAUUAGAUACCCUGGUAGUCCACGCCCUAAACGAUGUCAACUAGGUGUUGGGAGCGCAAGUUCUCAGCACCGCAGCUAACGCGUGAAGUUGACCGCCUGGGGAGUACGGUCGCAAGAUUA